rnacentral:rRNA from 1 species
UGGGGAAUAUUGCACAAUGGGCGCAAGCCUGAUGCAGCAACGCCGCGUGAGGGACGACGGCCUUCGGGUUGUAAACCUCUUUUGGCAGGGAAGAAGCGAAAGUGACGGUACCUGCAGAAAAAGCACCGGCUGACUACGUGCCAGCAGCCGCGGUGAUACGUAGGGUGCAAGCGUUGUCCGGAAUUAUUGGGCGUAAAGAGCUCGUAGGCGGUUUGUCGCGUCUGCUGUGAAAACCCGAGGCUCAACCUCGGGCCUGCAGUGGGUACGGGCAAACUAGAGUGCGGUAGGGGAGAUUGGAAUUCCUGGUGUAGCGGUGGAAUGCGCAGAUAUCAGGAGGAACACCGAUGGCGAAGGCAGAUCUCUGGGCCGUAACUGACGCUGAGGAGCGAAAGCAUGGGGAGCGAACA